GAUGAACGCUGGCGGCGUGCCUAAUACACGCAAGUCGAGCGAACGGACGAGAAGCUUGCUUCUCUGAUGUUAGCGGCGGACGGGUGAGUAACACGUGGAUAACCUACCUAUAAGACUGGGAUAACUUCGGGAAACCGUAGCUAAUACCGGAUAAUAUUUUGAACCGCAUGGUUCAAAAGUGAAAGACGGUCUUGCUGUCACUUAUAGAUGGAUCCGCGCUGCAUUAGCUAGUUGGUAAGGUAACGGCUUACCAAGGCAACGAUGCAUAGCCGACCUGAGAGGGUGAUCGGCCACACUGGAACUGAGACACGGUCCAGACUCCUACGGGAGGCAGCAGUAGGGAAUCUUCCGCAAUGGGCGAAAGCCUGACGGAGCAACGCCGCGUGAGUGAUGAAGGUCUUCGGAUCGUAAAACUCUGUUAUUAGGGAAGAACAUAUGUGUAAGUAACUGUGCACAUCUUGACGGUACCUAAUCAGAAAGCCACGGCUAACUACGUG
rnacentral:rRNA from 1 species